UCCCUGGUGGUCUAGUGGUUAAGACUCCACACUCCCAAUGAAAGGGACCCGAGUUUGAUCCCUGGUCAGGGAA
rnacentral:tRNA from 1 species